rnacentral:rRNA from 1 species
GUGAGGAAUAUUGGUCAAUGGGCGGAAGCCUGAACCAGCCAUCCCGCGUGGAGGAAGACGGCCCUAUGGGUUGUAAACUUCUUUUCAAGGGGAAGAAAGUUCGCGACGUGUCGCGAUUUGCCGGUACCUUUGGAAUAAGCAUCGGCUAACUCCGUGCCAGCAGCCGCGGUAAUACGGAGGAUGCGAGCGUUAUCCGGAUUUAUUGGGUUUAAAGGGUGCGUAGGCCGAUCGAUAAGUCAGCGGUGAAAUACCAUGGCCCAACCAUGGAACUGCCGUUGAUACUGUCGGUCUUGAAUAUGGUCAAGGUAGGCGGAAUGUGUAAUGUAGCGGUGAAAUGCUUAGAUAUUACACAGAACACCGAUUGCGAAGGCAGCUUACUGGUCCAUUAUUGACGCUGAGGCACGAAAGCGUGGGGAUCGAACAGGAUUAGAAACCCGGGUAGUCC